GAUGAACGCUGGCGGCGUGCCUAAUUCAUGCAAGUCGAGCGAACGGACGAGAAGCUUGCUUCUCUGAUGUUAGCGGCGGACGGGUGAGUAACACGUGGAUAACCUACCUAUAAGACUGGGAUAACUUCGGGAAACCGGAGCUAAUACCGGAUGAUAUUUUGAACCGCAUGGUUCAAAAGUGAAAGACGGUCUUGCUGUCACUUAUAGAUGGAUCCGCGCUGCUUUAGCUGGUUGGUAAGGUAACGGCUUCCCAAGGCAACGAUGCAUAGCCGACCUGAGAGGGUGAUCGGCCACACUGGAACUGAGACACGGUCCAGACUCCUACGGGAGGCAGCAGUAGGGAAUCUUCCGCAAUGGGCGAAAGCCUGACGGAGCAACGCCGCGUGAGUGAUGAAGGUCUUCGGAUCGUAAAACUCUGUUAUUAGGGAAGAACAUAUGUGUAAGUAACUGUGCACAUCUUGACGGUACCUAAUCAGAAAGCCACGGCUAACUACGUG
rnacentral:rRNA from 1 species